UGCCAAGCGUGCAGGGAGGCUGCGAGCCUCCUCCCUGCGCCCUGGGGACUCACCACACCACCACUGCCUGUGCCUGUGAUAAAUCCAGAGGUCUGUCUGGAAAAGUGUGUGGUGCUGUAGGAUGGCUCCUCAUCCUUCUGGCAGCCAGGACUGCUUUCAACAUCCACUCAAGGACCCACAGUAAAGUCAUUUGCAAGUGCUUUAAGUACUGAAGAAUAGAAGAACUUCUGCUUUGGGCAUUGAUGCUGAGACUGGACACACCAGCAGUUCUGGGCUUGAAGUCUCUACACCAUAAAUGAAGCAGCAUCUCCUGGGA